UUCCAAAACUCUUUGUCAGGGUGUCAUUGCUGAACUUCACUUUUAUCUUUUUUUGAUUUUGGUUUGUUUACUGAUUAUACAAUGAUGCCUGUUACAGUUUUGGGAAAUUAAUACUAUUCCUAUCUCUUGGCUUCGUUCUGAAGUCGUUCGGGGAUAAAACUAGAAGCAUGGCCAUCGUUCUGAUGGUGUACCUUCGCCUUUUUUGAAUAGCGAGGACUCUAUGAGUUGAAGAGAUGACUUUUUUCAACAACGUAGUUGUUGAAUAAAUCUACCAUCUUUUCGUAGUUGGAGAACUCACAUUU
rnacentral:snoRNA from 1 species